rnacentral:rRNA from 1 species
CCUGGCUCAGAUUGAACGCUGGCGGCAUGCUUUACACAUGCAAGUCGAACGGCGAGCGCGGAGAGCUUGCUCUCUGGCGGCGAGUGGCGAACGGGUGAGUAAUGCAUCGGGAACGUGUCCGAUUGUGGGGGACAACCAGCCCGAAAAGGUUGGCUAAUACCGCAUAAGACCUGAGGGUGAAAGCCGGGGACCGCGAAGGCCUGGCGCGAACGGAGCGGCCGAUGUUUGAUUAGCUAGUUGGCGGGGUAAAGGCCCACCAAGGCGACGAUCAAUAGCUGGUCUGAGAGGACGACCAGCCACACUGGAACUGAGACACGGUCCAGACUCCUACGGGAGGCAGCAGGUGGGGUAAAGUUUUGGACAAUGGGGGAACCCUGAUCCAGCCAUGCCGCGUGCGGGAAGAAGGCCUUCGGGUUGUAAACCGCUUUUGUCAGGGAAGAAAGGGUGAUGUGAAUAAUGUCACCUGCUGACGGUACCUGAAGAAUAAGCACCGGCUAACUACGUGCC